AUGAACGCUGGCGGCGUGCCUAAUACAUGCAAGUCGCGCGAACAGAUAAGGAGCUUGCUCCUUUGACGUUAGCGGCGGACGGGUGAGUAACACGUGGGUAACCUACCUAUAAGACUGGGAUAACUUCGGGAAACCGGAGCUAAUACCGGAUAACAUUUGGAACCGCAUGGUUCUAAAGUGAAAGAUGGUUUUGCUAUCACUUAUAGAUAGACCCGCGCCGUAUUAGCUAGUUGGUAAGGUAACGGCUUACCAAGGCGACGAUACGUAGCCGACCUGAGAGGGUGAUCGGCCACACUGGAACUGAGACACGGUCCAGACUCCUACGGGAGGCAGCAGUAGGGAAUCUUCCGCAAUGGGCGAAAGCCUGACGGAGCAACGCCGCGUGAGUGAUGAAGGGUUUCGGCUCGUAAAACUCUGUUAUUAGGGAAGAACAAAUGUGUAAGUAACUGUGCACGUCCUGACGGUACCUAAUCAGAAAGCCACGGCUAACUACGUG
rnacentral:rRNA from 1 species